GCCAGGAAGCGCCCCACCCCGUGCGAGCCUCGAUCCGGUGCCGCGCCGAUCUGGCGGCGGGUGCGGCGUCUUGCUCCCGUGGCGAUGAUGUCCUGCUGAUCCAAAGAAAGAGGGAGCCAGGGCAUGAGGGAGAUAGGAAAGAGAGGAAGGAGAAAGGGCACAAGGUGAGGGAGGCUCUCACCGGCGGUGACGGCUCCGGUGACCGGCCGGCGGUUGCGGGCUUGGAUCUGGGUGAUCCUUCUCCCCCGCCCUCCCCCUCCAUGGCCAACGGCACGAGGUGCAGCGACCUCUUCCACCCCCCGCCAUGGCUCCUCACUAUCACACCACCAGCACCCUCCUCAUCCCUUCCUCACUCUCGGCUGAUCCCCAAGGCUGCCCCCCCUCUCUCAUUAGAUCUGGUCCGGAUGAUCACUCGACCGAGCUCGAUACCACACUGCCUGUCUUGGAUGGCCGGAACAUAUUGUUGGCCAUCUCACACUUUGGUUGCAGCAAUUGGAUGUGCCCUGUGAAACCUGCAACAUUUGAGCAUUGCAAGCGGCGGUAUGGCAGUCUGAAUCCUGAAGUUCUUGGGAGUGCAGGUUGAGUGUUUGUUGGAAAUAGGGGAGCGAGACCCAUAGCUCCUUAAAAAAGGUGUAUUUCCUCUCAAUCACUUGCACAAGCAAACAAGUACUUCUUGGUUAGUUGUAUUCGUUUUGUUAUAUUUAUGAGAACUGCCUUUUCAAACAGGAGAAGAACGGCUAUCUUGCUUUUCUGAAAUCAACAUGAGCUCAGUCUGGAAAAAUGUUGGAUAUUCUUGAAGAAAUACUUGCGAUGAAGGAUAGCCAUUGUUUGCAUGCUUCCUCCCUGUGGUGCAUUUGGUUCCUAAGCCAUCCUCUCAAGCUCCCAUUUCGAUAGUUGUGAUCCCUGGGUCUGCGAAGCCAGGUUUGCAGAAGAAAUUGGGGGGCUCAAGUCUGCAAUCAAGGGAGUCUGCAUGGUGGUCUCUGUUGUUUGAAGGCAAGGUGCUCGGGAAUGAGCCACUGGCUAAAUCGUUUGGUGAUCUCAAGGAUGUGCUUUCUAAUGUGGGAAACGUGGUCGACGACAAGCUCUGACUACUACAGGCUCCAACAAGGCUUCUAUUCUGAACCAAUAAACUUGAACAGCUACAAGAAGCAUCUUUCCAUGGAGCUUAAAUGCCUUUUCCAAUACAUAGUUAAUCAACCGACAAAAGGAUUGGGUAUUGAGCUUCUUGUACUUGAGGAUGCUAUGUCAGGAAGUGAAACAUUGUGGCUUCAAGGAGUGAAGAAAUUGGAUUGGGAUCAAUGGAGUAAAUCAAACGAGGAUGCAACUCAUGUUCGUGUUGGUAGUCAUUCAGACAUUUAUUAACUCUGUAGCAAAUAGUUCACAUGGUAGAGCUAGUCGUGGUGCAGAGGCUAGAUAGUUUUAGUAUUCAGACUUUCAGUUGCUGCUAGCUCUACUCUGCUUUGUCCUUUCAUAAUGGCAAUGUAGCAGCUGUGUGAUACGUUUGCAACACGGAGUCUUCACUUCAUAUUACCUACCGGAACCGAUAUGUGUUUGUCGACAUAAAAUUUUAACCUAAAUUUGCUAUUCAGGUGGCAAAUCCAAUAAUCUAUGUACUGUAUUUGCAUUUUGCAAGAUAAUUUGGCUGCCAAAGUGCUACAUCGUAUCUCACUGGACCUAUUGAGUUGCUUCCAUGACCAUACUUCAAAUAGGGGUAUAUUAGUUUGCCUCUCAUCAUCAACUUUGGACCCUCUUUAUGUGGGCAUUUUUUUCAAAGCGUACUUGUAUAAAAUAAACUGUAUUUGGUUUUCAGUUUAUAUCUGUCCAUGGUUUUGCUCACAUCACAAAUUUUGACAGCUAGACAGUUCCCGAGUUCGGUCCAACCGAAACACUGCAUUUAUCUUUCUCCAUGAGUAUGGUGGAAUGCAACAUCCAUUCAACCUCUAAAUUGGGGCUCCAUGGCUACCAAUCGAUGGAGCAAGACUGGAGACCACCCUCUCCUCCUCCAAUUUGGAGCUCCAUGGCCGCCAUUCAACAGGCGCACUGCCAUCGUUGCCUCCUCACCGCCUCACCUGGGAGAGCACAGGCGCCAACAUCGCCCACGACCCGCCGCAUGUUCGAUCAACAAACUGUAGUUCAAUUAGGUCUGUUGCUCCUCUUACAUGCAGAGCCUGGGAAGA